rnacentral:rRNA from 1 species
GACGAACGCUGGCGGCGUGCCUAAUACAUGCAAGUAGAACGCUGAAGGAGGAGCUUGCUCUUCUGGAUGAGUUGCGAACGGGUGAGUAACGCGUAGGUAACCUGCCCGGUAGCGGGGGAUAACUAUUGGAAACGAUAGCUAAUACCGCAUAACAGUAGAUGUUGCAUGACAUUUGCUUAAAAGGUGCAAUUGCAUCACUACCAGUUGGACCUGCGUUGUAUUAGCUAGUUGGUGGGGUAACGGCUCACCAAGGCGACGAUAGAUAGUCGACCUGAGAGGGGGGUCGGGCACACCGGGAAUGGGACACGGCCCAGACUUCUACGGGAGGCAGCCAUAGGGAAUCUUCGGGAAAGGAGGGAAGUCUGACCGAGGAACGGCGGGGGAGUGAAGAAGGUUCUCCGAUCGUAAAGCUCCGGUUUAUGGGAAGAAAGAGUGUGGGAGUUGAAAGUGCACGCUGUGACGGUAUCUUACCAGAAAGGGACGGCUAACUACGUG